GACGAACGCUGGCGGCGUGCUUAACACAUGCAAGUCGAACGGUGAACCAGAGCUUGCUCUGGGGAUCAGUGGCGAACGGGUGAGUAACACGUGAGCAACCUGCCCUUCACUCUGGGAUAACUCCGGGAAACCGGAGCUAAUACCGGAUACGACCCGAGCGGGCAUCCGCAUCGGGUGGAAAGAUUUAUCGGUGAAGGAUGGGCUCGCAGCCUAUCAGCUUGUUGGUGGGGUAAUGGCCUACCAAGGCGACGACGGGUAGCCGGCCUGAGAGGGCGACCGGCCACACUGGGACUGAGACACGGCCCAG
rnacentral:rRNA from 1 species